GCCUGGAGAGCUCACCCUGCCUAGCCCCUCCUCAGCCGGUGCGCUGCGGCCCUGUUCAGGACCGCAGCCGCUCGUGCCGCUGGGCCGAACCUGCUCCUCCGACCAGCCGUGCGGGUGGGAGGAGUCCGUUGAGGGCGUGGCUUGGUCCAGGAGCAGCGUCUUCCAGGGUGGUGCAGUGUCCCCUUUUCCACCCACCAAGGUAGAGAAGGCGGAGGGCAGGUGUAAGAGCUGGGUCAAACCCUACCAACUCCCUCUCCUACUCCAACGAAACUAACGAAGGACUGGGCGAGCUUCGUAGUUGCCGCCCCACCCGCCACAGCCCGGUCAAGAGUGUUGCCAAAGUCUCUCUGGAAAUGGAGAAUUCUCAGCUGCAGCAAAAAUUCCCUUGUGAGCAGGAGAGAUGAGCAUAAACUUUACUCCAAUGGAAUUUCAUUAAAUACAAUGAUGCAGCUGCCUGCAGCAGGCCCAGGCCUUAGAGGGAUCGGUAGCCUGGACCUUCAUCAGCAGAAGGUCUGAACAGACCACAAAGAGCCAGGUCCAAGGAAAGAAGCAUGAUGGUGAGAAAGAACUCAGGGAUCACAAGGUACCCGGGAAGGCCCCAGCACCCUCAAACUAUGGCCACCCCCUGAAGGUGUGUCUCCAAUUUGGUGCAGGGGCUGGAGCAUCAUAGCCUGAGUACCAAGUGAGGCCAAGGUGAAGGUGCUGCCCCUCCCUCCUCAGAGCCUAACCCACAGCAGAGCUGGCAGAUGGAAAGUGUGGCAGUCAUACCCCUGUAACUGAAGUUCUUCCUCCACAUCUAGACACACACCUCUGUGGGUACCUGGGCUCUGGUAACUUCCCUGAGUGCCAACUGUGCCAUCACCAGGCUGUCUGCCCAGCCCCUUCCAUCCCCUUCUGCUCACUGGACAGCUUUGAGGCCAUGACCCUUCUGGGGCUCCAGAGGACACACACACAGUGCUGUGCUGAGCUGAGAAGGAACAUCCUGAGCAGGCCCUGAUGCCAGCUGGCCUGGCUGUAAGCUCCUCACCCAACAAGGCUAACCCAGGGCCUGCAAAAGGGGAGCCAACCAAGGUAGAGUGGGGGAAGGGCUAUGCCUUUACCAGAUCUUGUCCAUCAGCACAUUCCCUCCACUUCCUGUAGGGUCACUGGUAUGUCUUCCCUGGAAGCCAGUGCCUUGUUGGGAGAGCAUGGUCUGGUGCUAGUGCCUUUGUAGACAUAAAGUCUAGGUCUGGAGGCUUUGAAAAUGACUGACUCACCUGGAACUUUAUCCUUAGAUUUAUUAAGAGCAGCUGUAACUGAUAAAGUGGAAUUUGAGGAAGUUAGAGUCCCUUCCCUUAUCCUGGGUAAGCAAAGAUGCAGUUUGUAAGGGAAGGUGGAGGAGCAAGGUAAGGAAUGUGCUUUUUUGCUUUAAUGUCUAUUAAAAAAGUUGUUGGGGAAAAUAGCCCAAGGAUGGGGACCAAACUCCUACAAAGAGCCCAUUCCUUGCUCUCUGCACUCAAGCUGCAGCCCCUUCCAGAAGCAAGAGUUCCCCAAUGGAUGCAGCCAUGAGUUGGAAGGUAGUGUCUGAUUCCUUUGUUUCUGGGCUGCACUGAGAAGAAACAAGUGGGAGCUCCUUCUCACCGGUGUUGCUCGUCCCACAGCUCCAGACCUGUGCUCCAUCAUGGAGAAAGUCAUGGCCCUUCUGAUGGUAUCCCAUCCGGAUGGGUCAGGGUUGCCACCCUGCUUCCAGUGACUGUUCAUGCUUGGGAAGGCUGGCCAGGAGGGCAGGUGGGACAAUAACCUUCAGUGCCACAUGAGAUCAGGUUUUGCUUCUCUCAGGAGGUGCCCUCCAGUAAAGACCUCAGCCUCUUCCUGCCUCCACAGCUAGCUGUCCGUCCUUUUCAGGCAGUGGAAGAAGUUACAGACAAGCUCAUACCAGAAGAACACUAACCCUGUGGAGAGGGCAGCCUUGAGCAGGCUGGGGGACAGGCCCUUGAAGAAGCCUUGGGCACCUUCCUCUUGCAGCAUCUGCUUGGUGCAAUCCAAGAGGCCCCUGUAUCUCCGCACCUGGGGAGAGAAAGGUUCAGGUUGAGCAAAGAUGAAGUGAGUAAAACAGAGAUGCACCUAGGACAUCAUGUUCCCAAUAAAUGCUUGCCAGAUGAAGGAA